rnacentral:lncRNA from 1 species
GUGAGAAAGCACAUAAAAUUUUUUUUUUUUUGUCUUUCUUUUGAAUCGUAAAAUAUAUAGCAUAAUUGAUGUAAAACAUAAAAUUACGAACAAAAAUAUACAGAAUAUUUUUUUAUUAUAUUUUUUUAACGGCACGUAACACAAUCACUCCAUAAUUAUAACUAAAAAUUUUUAUUUAAUUAAUAAGUAUCCGCAGAUAAAAUUUAGGAGAUCAAACGUGGAGAAGAAAAAAAGCGUUUGAAAAAAAAAAAAAAAAAAAA